GGCCAGCAGCCGCGGUAAUACAGAGGGUGCAAGCGUUGUUCGGAAUUAUUGGGCGUAAAGCGCGUGUAGGCGGCAUUGCAAGUCGGGUGUGAAAGCCCUCAGCUCAACUGAGGAAGUGCGCCCGAAACUGCAGUGCUUGAGUACCGGAGAGGAUGGCGGAAUUCCCCAAGUAGAGGUGAAAUUCGUAGAUAUGGGGAGGAACACCGGUGGCGAAGGCGGCCAUCUGGACGGAUACUGACGCUGAGACGCGAAAGCGUGGGUAGCAAACAGGAUUAGAUACCCUGGUAGUCCACGCUGUAAACGAUGAGAACUAGGUGUCGUGGGAGUUGACCCCCGCGGUGCCGUAGCCAACGCAUUAAGUUCUCCGCCUGGGAAGUACGGUCGCAAGACUAAAACUCAAAGGAAUUGGCGGGGGAU
rnacentral:rRNA from 1 species